CCACCUCCCGACCCACGCCCGCCGGCCUCACCCCAGACCCCGCGCGGCGAGCUCGAUCCACCCCGUUGGCCUCCCCCCAGACCCGCGCGCCCUGCCACCAACCACCUCCCACCGGCGGCCACCAGCCCCAACGCCUCACCCGCCGCCGCCACCCCCUCCCCCGGCCCAACGCGCCUCCUUGCGCUGCCGAACCCCCGCACUACCGCGCGCCCGCCAGAUCCCCGGAGUCCCGGGCGCCGCCAGAUCCCCCGAGUCCCGUGCGCCGCUGAGACCCGACAUCCCAGCGCAUGCCGCGCCGCGAUUUGGUUCGGUCCUGACGAGUUUUCUUGGUUGCCGUCGCAGAGGUGGUGAGCGGCUUCCUCUCCAAUGCGGCGUCGGCGGUGUUGAAGCGGAUGUGGUCGCUCAAAUCGACCGUCAAGACAGCGAGUGGAGCCAAGUCCAUGGUCAAGUACGAGGGCGGCUACACCGUGGAGACGGUCUUCGACGGCAGCAAGCUGGGGAUCGAGUCGUACGCCGUCGAGGUCACCCAGGGUGGCGAGCUGCUCGUCAUGGAUUCCAUGAACAGCAACAUCUACCGGAUCGCGCUGUCACUGUCCUGAUAGACCUAUGUGCUGCUGGUGCUCGCUACCCGCGUGAACAUAGAAAUGAAGGUCACCAUCAGGUAGGGGAGAAGAUCACAUGAUGUGCAGAAAGAAGGUAAAACUGCAGGGGAGAACCGGUCCUCGCCCGUGCCAUUGGUGUGGUUAUCUCCCCUGAAUGAGCAGUAGUGCUCACGUGUAGCUCUCCCUCUAUGGUUCUUUAUCCCCUGUUUGUGGUUAUGCUUAACCUUGUAAACAAUUCAAUGUAUGAACUAUACCUCUAUUGCUCAUGCGUGUACAAUGCCUGCUAGAUGAAGCUCAAUGUGCGAAAAAUAUGGUUUUUGUUUC